CCUACGGGAGGCAGCAGUAAGGAAUAUUGGUCAAUGGGCGCAAGCCUGAACCAGCCAUGCCGCGUGCAGGAAGACGGCCCUAUGGGUUGUAAACUGCUUUUGAACAAGAGAAAACCUCGGUACGUGUACCGAGCUGAUAGUAUUGUUAGAAUAAGCAUCGGCUAACUUCGUGCCAGCAGCCGCGGUAAGACGAAGGAUGCAAGCGUUAUCCGGAUUCAUUGGGUUUAAAGGGUGCGUAGGCGGCCUGAUAAGUCAGUGGUGAAAUCUCUCAGCUUAACUGAGAAACUGCCAUUGAUACUGUCGGGCUUGAGUACAGAUGAUGUGGGCGGAAUAUGACAUGCAGUGGUGAAAUACUUAGAUAUGUCAUAGAACACCGAUUGCGAAGGCAGCUCACAAAACUGUAACUGACGCUGAGGCACGAAAGUGCGGGGAUCAAACAGGAUUAGAUACCCUGGUAGUCCGCACCGUAAACGAUGAUUACUCGUUGUUGGNAUAUAGACGUCGAGCGACCGACGACGAAGACGAGUUAAGUUAAGUACGUUACCGUUACGGGUAGGUUACGGCCGGCCGGACGGGUUACGGAACGUUACGAACGGAAGUUAGACGGACGNGAGGACGAGCGACGGACGACGACGAGGAGGUAGG
rnacentral:rRNA from 1 species